rnacentral:rRNA from 1 species
AUGAAUGCAUCCCUGGAUAAACCCUUCCAGCCCGAUGAGGUGAGGACGGCUCUGUUUCAGAUGUCACCGUCCAAAGCCCCGGGUGUCGACGGGUUUACUGCGGGUUUUUUCCAAAGGCACUGGGAUCUUAUUAAAGGAGACCUAGUACCGGAGAUUCUUGGCUUUUUGAAUGGGGAAGAUAUACCUUUUGGUUUCAAUGAUACUUCCAUAACUCUUAUACCGAAGGUAAGGAAUCCUCAAACGAUAUCUCAGUACUGUCCCAUCUCCUUGUGUCCAGUUUCGUAUAAAAUUGCCGCCAAAAUGAUUUCUAUCCGGUUCAAAGAGUUAUUGGACGCAGUGGUGGGUGAGGAACAAAGUGCCUUUGUUCCCGGUCGUCUGAUUACUGAUAACGUGGUUGUGGCCUUUGAAAGUGUUCAUACCAUGAGAAGGCGGAAGAAAGGGAAGAACUAUACGUGUGUCGUUAAACUCGACAUGAUGAAGGCCUACGAUAGGGUGGAAUGGCAUUAUCUACAGGCUAUCAUGCUCAAGCUCAGCUUCAGUGUUAAUAUUGUGAAUCUGGUAAUGAAAUGUGUCUCUUCAGUUAGGUUCACAGUUAGGGUGAAUGGUGAGCUCCUUCCGGUUUUUGAUCCUUCCAGGGGUCUGCGACAGGGUUGUCCUAUGUCACUGUUUCUUUUUCUCCACUGUGCAGAAGGGCUAACCUCAUUGCUUAACUCCUAUGGCGGCGGUGUUGUGGACAGGGGGAUACGAGUGUCCUUCCGAGCAUCGAGGGUGAGCCAUCUGCUUUUUGCCGAUGAUAGUCUCAUCUUCAUCAGUGCAACACAGGAGAGUGCUGAUCGGCUUAAUGCUAUUCUACUCAUAUAUGCUUCAUGUUCGGGCCAGUCAGUGAAUCAUGAGAAAAGCGUUGUCUUCUUCUCACCAAAUACACCGAGCGCCAGAAGACAGACUGUUAAGUUUGUCCUAGGGAUUCAGGUGGAAGCCUUCACUAAUCGUUAUCUUGGAUUACCAACUGCGGUGGACAGGAUCACUAGAGGCACCUUCGAUCACAUUGGUGACCGAUCGAAAGGCAAGAUGAAUGGUUGGGCAGAGCGGCUUCUAGCCUGCGCUGGAAGAGAGGCACUAAUUAAAUCAGUUAUUCAAGCUAUCCUGACAUUCAGCAUGAGUUGCUUCCUUUUGACAAAGAAGGUAUGCAAGGGUUUAACUGAAGGAAAUAUGCCCUAG